ACUGACCUUAGCAUCAAUAACUAUAGACUGUAAGCAAAGAAAGAGUUAAAACCACAUUAGGUGAAUCACAGAUAUUUCUCUUUAUGGCCAGCAACUAUUACUUUCCAAAGCAAUUUUUUUUGCAGAUGAUUUUGUUUCCGUAAAUCACACUUCCAAUUUUCAAAUGUCUUUUUUAAACACAUGCAAAAGCACUUCAUAGGGCUCUUAAAAAUCUGAACCUGCCAAAUUAUAUAUAAAUUACACCAAGAAUGCUAUAAGUCCUGAAAGCAAAAGGAGACACACACACACACACACACACACACACACAUACACACACACACACACACACAAAACCAUGGAAAACAGCAAAUCUUCAUCUCCCUGCUAGGAUACAGACACUGGCCAGAAAGCUCUGAUAAAGAAAGUUUCCAGAAGGACCCAACAUUCUGAUGAUCGGAGGAGUGAAGCUGCACUUCACUAAGAAUGACCCCUGAGCAAGGGCUGUUCCUACUUGGUUCCUGCCAUAAUGCCAGAGACACAGAGGCCCUCUAUAUGCUCCAUGGUGAAUUGACUGACAAUGAAUGAACCACGAAAGGAUGGUCCAGUGGUUGUGGAAUAUCAAAGUCAUGGCAGAC